GCUCGCGUAGCUCAGUCGGUAGAGCGCGUCCUUGGUAAGGACGAGGUCACCGGUUCAAGUCCGGUCGUGAGCU
rnacentral:tRNA from 1 species